rnacentral:rRNA from 1 species
AUGCUGGGGACCAAUCCGACUCUUCUCCUUCAGCAAAGUUCUAGAGUCAGUAGCUGCUCUCGGAUCGCGGCGGAAGUGAGCCCACAGGAGCUGCUCGUACGGUCGUACCACGUCCUCACGGAGCUCCAGAACCACGUGCUCGGCUACGUCAAGUCUAUGUCGCUCAAGUGCGCCGUGGAACUCGGCAUCCCGGAUGCCAUCCACCGCCGCGGCGGCACCGCCACCCUGGCCAACACCAAGGUGCACCCGGCCAGCCUUGCCGACCUCCGGCGCGUAAUGGAGCUGCUCAGCGCCUCGGGAGAUGAGGCGAGCAAGGACACGGGGUUCAACGCCGUCCUGAAUGACGCCAUGAUCGCGGACAGCGAGCUCUUCCUCGAGGUCAUCCUUCUGGAUAAGGGGCGCAUCUUUCGCGGCCAGAGCUCGCUCGUGGACGUUGGCGGCGGCAACGGCGCGGGCACGCGGGUGAUCGCCAAGGCGUUCCCGCGCAUCGAGUGCACCGUGCUGGACCUCGCUCACGUCUUCGGCAAAGCCGCCGGUGACCAUGGCAACCUGCGUUUCGUCGCAGGUGACAUGUUUGAAUCCCUUCCACCCGCGGAUGUUGUCUUGCUCAAGGGAGGCAUGUCUAUGUACCCCAUCGACAUCACCUAG